GUCUGGCUGGGGAGGGUGAAGUCGGUGAACUCGAACUCGGAGCCUUGCGUGUCGGCGCCGAGCAGCUCGGCCUCCUCGGUGUCCAGGAAGGAUAAAGCCCAGCCUGAAACGACGUGUACCAGAUCUGCAGCUGCUGGGCUGAAAAGAUGGAGACUGGAAAACAUCCUUGUCCUGGGAAUAUUGUGCAGCAAAAGGAGGGAAAAAAAAAAAAAACCAAACCCAGAGAACACAGGAGUCACCACUUCUGCAGAGAGGCUGAAUUCAUCUUACUUUUAAGGAGAAUAAAUUGUUCACAGCAAAGCAUAACGGGGAGAAAGCAUGAAAUAACAUUUGAGGAUGAAAGUGCAACCGGAGGGGGGGGGGGGGGAAAUAUAGUACAAAGCCAGGUGGAUGCUUGCUGCAAACACUUUUAUUUAUUAAUAAACACACCACACUCCAAACGUUUGGCUGCUUGACAGAAUCCUCAAAAAUCUUGGAAAGGGAUCAAAGUUCUGCUGCUCUGCCGGGUUCCUCUCCCUGUCCCUGCCACAGCUCGGGGAAUAACGGUGUGGAAAAGUCCCUCCUGUGCCAGCACGAGCCGGAUUUGUCCCCUGAGGGUGGCGUUGGGGACACUUCGGUGCUGCUGUCUGAGGUGCUGAAGCUGCAGAUCCCCCACCACGGCCUGCGUGGAACUGGGAAAGCAGCCGGAAAACCAAACUGGUUUCAACUGGAGGUUGAAAUUCUCUUUAUACCAACGCGGCGCAGAGGCACGUGAAUUUCGGGAUAACUCUGCUUCAUUGCAACGCUGGAAGCUCCGGGGGCCACUUUGAAGCUUUUAAAGAUAAAAUGGAUGCACAGCCAGGCUACAGAGCUGCCAGGCUGUAUGGUUUUUUUUUGCUUUUUUUUUUUUUUUUUUUUUUUGGUGUUUUGUGCAAGUUUUCUCCCUCAAAUCCGCGCUGCUGCAGAGGAGAGGCUGUGACUCACUGGGCUUGACUGCUGUGCAGCCAGGAUGGAAUUUAAACAGGCAAAAACUGGCACAAUUCCCUGCUGAGUUUCCCCAUGCCCCGGGCAGGUCAGAAGCUGGGAUUCACAAGAAGAGAAGAAACG